rnacentral:lncRNA from 1 species
AGAAAAGUCGCAGCAUACAGUUGAUCUUAUCACAACAGUAUUGCAGCAAGCAACUUGGCAAAGCAGCACGUGGAUGUUUUCAAAUAGGUACAACAAUACCUUACAGAAGCCAAUAACAAAUAUAAAGUUACAGUUGAUAAACAUAGGCGUUUCAAGACCUUCAAUGUCGGUGACCAAGUUAUGGUGUAUUUACGCAAGGAGCAUGGUGAAGGAC